GGAGGGGAGGAGGCCAAGGAGGUAGAGGGGGAGGCCAAGGAGGUAGAGGGGGAGGCCAAGGAGGAACAGGAGGAGCCCCUCGCCCAACAGAUUCAUCAGCAAGUGCUAAAACUAUAAAUUAUUUUAAUGUUAAAUGUAGGAACCUUAAUUAUAGUUCUAAAUAAAAUCUAAAUAAAAA